GUAUUUAUGCUGCGGCUGGCAAACGCUGCGGUGCCUGAGUGUUAACCUUGAAUGGUUUUCUGCCGUCUCCCAGUGUGUAGUCUGUGGAUUCAAGUCUCCUGGAACCUCGUCGUCUCAGGUCCGAUCUGUCGGAAGCCACGUCUCCGAGCGAUCACCGCUCCGACCAACCUUCCGAGGAACCGUUUCCCCCUCUGACGCCUCAGGUAUUACCUGUUGGAAGCCAGUACCCUUGCCCCUGGAUGUAUCUGAGUUCUCCGUUUGCCAGCCGUCCGCUACAGCCUCUCUUACCUGUCCGUCCUCCAUCGUGCACCGCUCGCUGGAUUAGCGAGUUCUGGACCUCCGUCUUCAGUAGCGACCUCAGGCAACAAUCAAACCCAUUUCAACCCCUUUCCCAAUUGAUGACCUUGCAGUCCCAACCCCGUAUCCAGAAUUCCCCCACCACUUCUCUUUAAUAAACUUUAUUAUUGU